GACGAACGCUGGCGGCGUGCUUAACACAUGCAAGUCGAACGGAAAGGCCCUGCUUUUGUGGGGUGCUCGAGUGGCGAACGGGUGAGUAACACGUGAGUAACCUGCCCUUGACUUUGGGAUAACUUCAGGAAACUGGGGCUAAUACCGGAUAGGAGCUCCUGCUGCAUGGUGGGGGUUGGAAAGUUUCGGCGGUUGGGGAUGGACUCGCGGCUUAUCAGCUUGUUGGUGGGGUAGUGGCUUACCAAGGCUUUGACGGGUAGCCGGCCUGAGAGGGUGACCGGCCACAUUGGGACUGAGAUACAGCCCAGACUCCUACGGGAGGCAGCAGUGGGGAAUAUUGCACAAUGGGCGGAAGCCUGAUGCAGCAACGCAGCGUGCGGGAUGACGGCCUUCGGGUUGUAAACCGCUUUCGCCUGUGACGAAGCGUGAGUGACGGUAAUGGGUAAAGAAGCACCGGCUAACUACGUG
rnacentral:rRNA from 1 species